AUCCAGUUGGCGAGUCUAAAAUAGGACGAAGUGACGCGCGUCGUGGAU
rnacentral:hammerhead_ribozyme from 1 species